rnacentral:ncRNA from 2 species
UUAACGCACUAGGGGUGUGUAAACUGAGAUGAGGCUUGUCCUCAAACCCUUUGAACCUGAUCUAGUUGAUACUAGCGUAGGAAAGUGUGCUUACAUACCU